rnacentral:tRNA from 4 species
GUCAGGGUAGCUCAGCUGGUAGAGCAGAGGACUGAA